AACGAACGAGACUCUGGCAU
rnacentral:piRNA from 1 species